GUGCUUUUUCUGGAAGCAUAUGUAUUGGAAUGGAAAUGAUACAGAUAUCAGCAUGGUCUCUGUACAAGAAUAAAAAGUGGAUUCAUAAAGUGUCCCUUAUUCUG
rnacentral:snRNA from 1 species